AUUGAACGCUGGCGGCAGGCCUAACACAUGCAAGUCGAACGAGGGGAGGACGGGUGAGUAAUUUAUGGGAAACUGCCUGAUGGAGGGGGACAAAGAGUGGAAACGGUAGCUACAACAGCAUACCACCGGUUGGGCCCAGAGGGGAUUAGCGAGUAGGUGGGGUAAAGGAUCACCUAGGCGUCGAUGCCUAGCUGGUCUGAGAGGAUGAACGGCCACACUGUAACUGAGACACGGUCCAGACUCCUACGGGAGGCAGCAGUAGGGAAUAUUGCGCAAUGGGCGCAAGCCUGAUGCAGCAAUGCCGCGUGUGUGAAGAAGGCGUUCGGGUUGUAAAGUUCUUUCUGCGGAGAGGCGUUACCCAAAGAAGAAGCAACGGCUAACUCCGUGCCAGCAGCCGCGGUAAUUC
rnacentral:rRNA from 1 species